CAUCUUAGUGGCGGACGGGUGAGUAACGCGUGGGUAACCUGCCUUAUACAGGGGGAUAACACUUAGAAAUAGGUGCUAAUACCGCAUAAGCGCACGGGGCUGCAUGGCCCAGUGUGAAAAACUCCGGUGGUAUAAGAUGGACCCGCGUCUGAUUAGCUUGUUGGCGGGGUAACGGCCCACCAAGGCGACGAUCAGUAGCCGGCCUGAGAGGGUGGACGGCCACAUUGGGACUGAGACACGGCCCAAACUCCUACGGGAGGCAGCAG
rnacentral:rRNA from 1 species